CGAGCUCAACGUGCAAAACUUGAGAUAAGGUCAGCUGUUCGGCUGGCCGCUACAUGCUGUUUUGUUCGUUCGGCUCGCGUCAAAUUGCAGUCACACUAUC
rnacentral:pre_miRNA from 1 species